GAGAAAGCCGUGAUUAAACACUGCGAUCUGUUUGUGUCACUGCUGUGCAGCAAGGAUCCUGUGGACCAGAUCUCAUUCCGUAGAGCAGAAGAAACAGAAGCAGUCAAAAAAAUCUUCGGAGAAACUUACUGUGCAGAAAAUGCCUUUUCCAAACAUCAAUGCCAACAUUUUUCUUAAGAGCGCUGCUCCUGUGAGCUUUUUGAUCAUGGGUUUUGAAGUGAUUUUCAAGAUGAAAUUUUCAUGCCCAUGCAUUAUUGUGAUGAACCAAUUUCUAGCACUCCUCAUCUUAACUGUGCCUGCUGUCUUUGCUUCGGUUAUGAUCUCACUAUUUUUGAGUUUUAUAAUAUCUGAAAGCAGUGGAAGUUCUGAAGCACAAGGCAACAAUGAACAAUUUAAUCGUAUGAUUAGUUUAAUUCCACCUGCAUUGUGGAUCUGUAUAUUUUUCAUCGAUGGUGAUUAUUGUGCGUGUGGAUUCACAUAUUGGGAUGGACAGUAUGUCUGUGAUACAAGUCUUCAUCCCAGUUGUUUCAGCUGGUGUAAACCGGAAGGAACAAAUGGGACAGGAAAAUAUAACUACACACUAUGGGUGAAUAAUAUAACAAAGUUACUAGGUUAUGCCCUGGGUUUGUUCUUCUGCCAUCAUAUCUGGAGAAAAAUAGAUAAAACACACAUCACAAAUAUAGUGGAACACAGAGUGGUGCCACAAACACAAGAGGAUUCAGAGCUUCAAGAGAUACCACACACUGCACAGUGAACACCAUCACUUCAGGUUUACCCAGAGCCAAAAUCAUGGAUCUAAAGACACACACACACACACACACACACACACACAUAUAUAUAUAUAUAUAUAUAUAUAUAUACAGGUUUAAUUUUAAUUAAUUAACAGGUCACUGAAAUAUUGAGAAAUAGCAGUGAAAAAGGACUCUGAAUUGAUUUUUCAGUGUGGAUGCAGAAAAACACAGAAGAGCCGGAGAGAGAGAAAAAAUAAUGUUCAGAUGAGGGAGAGGAAUAUAUGAGGAGCAGUUAGAUCAGGAUAAGAGAGAGGAGUAAGAAUAUGUGCUGGACAUCGUUUUUAGAGACAGUGUUUCGAGAAGACACUGAGAGAGACGGACAAUAAACUGCAUAAAACUGAAUAAAA